rnacentral:rRNA from 1 species
AAUAUUUGACAAUGGGCGCAAGCCUGAUCCAGCCAUGCCGCGUGAGUGAUGAAGGCCNNNGGGUUNUCAAGCACUUUUGUCCGNGACNAUAAUGACGGUAGCGGAAGGAUAAGCCCCGGCUAACGUCGUGCCAGCAGCCGCGGUAAUACGAAGGGGGCUAGCGUUACUCGGGAUCAAUGGGCGUAGAGGGCGCGUAGGCGGACGUUUAAGUCAGGGGUGAAUUCCCGGGGCUCAACCUCGGAAUUGACUUUGAUACUGGAUGUCUCGAGACCGGAAUAGGUAAGUGGAACUGCGAGUGUAGAGGUGAAAUUCGUAGAUCUUCGCAAGAACACCAGUGGCGAAGGCGGCUUACUGGUCCGGUUCUGACGCUGAGGCGCGAAAGCGUGGGGAGCAAACAGG